CUAACAUUCUAGGCAACAAUUGAUUUCAGAGUAGGUGCUCUAUUAUUUAUUGUUGAUCUAGUGGUUUAGAGCCAAAGAUCAUAAAAAUCCAAAUUGAUUCUUUAUUUAUUGAAGGCCAUUCUAUAGAUAGAUCCCCACUAUUUAAUGGAUCGAAUUAUAUUUAUUGAAAGGCUAGGAUGAAAAUAUUCAUACAAGCACAUGAUCAUAAUUUAUGAAAAAUUAUAGUCGAU
rnacentral:lncRNA from 1 species